rnacentral:rRNA from 1 species
AUUCCAGCUCCAAUAGCGUAUAUUUAAGUUGCUGCAGUUAAAAAGCUCGUAGUUGGAUUUCGGGUGGGAAUGGCCGGUCCGCCGUUUCGGUGUGCACUUGCUACGCCCACCUUGCUGCCGGGGACGUGCUCUUGAGUUUGCGCUCGGGACACGGAGUCGGCGAGGUUACUUUGAGUAAAUUAGAGUGUUCAAAGCAGGCCUACGCUCUGAAUACAUUAGCAUGGAAUAACACGAUAGGACUCUGGCCUAUCUUGUUGGUCUGUAGGACCGGAGUAAUGAUUAAGAGGGACAGUCGGGGGCAUUCGUAUUUCAUUGUCAGAGGUGAAAUUCUUGGAUUUAUGAAAGACGAACUACUGCGAAAGCAUUUGCCAAGGAUGUUUUCAUUG